UAAAAAUUAUGCCUUCAACAAUUUUUCGGUGCCAAUCGACGAUUCAGGUGUAAAUUGUGAGAACUAUAUAAAUUUAAGGAAUUACAUCCGUGGUCUGAGUGUGGGUUGCGGGCGCAUACUGGUUUUACUUUACAAUGACCCUGUGAGACCUAGGCACGCAAUAGACUUUGAUGUAACAAAGGUUAAUACGAUUGGCAUUCUGCAUGGUUGAGUUUUGGCUUUACGGACAGAUGUACGAUUCUUGCUUGGCACCUAUCAUUCGGUCAACUGGAGGUCAUGAUGUUUUUCCUUGCUGCUGCUGCUGCUGCUGCUGCUGCUCUGGAUUUCAUCGAUACGCCCAUGAGCUGUGGAAGAAGUUCGGGGGAAUGGAAGGUUGAAGUGACAAGCUACAACGUCUUGUAAAGGGUACGGG